CAGGACUCUCAGCGUCUUCGUCGCAUCUCCUUUCUUCGCAUCGAUCCUAGAGUGCUCCAGUCGAAGACAUGGACGGCUUGCUUGGGAAAUACCUCUUCAUGGUGGUUUUUGCCACACUCGCUGCCCUGAUAAUGUUCCCAAACCAAGCUGAGGCAAUUCCAAGCUCCUUCUUGGAAGCUAUCACCGCACAGGCCACUGGACGAAAUGAAGAAAUUGCCGAGUAGCGCAGCAUCCGUCUUUGCGAUAAAAUGGGGCCGACCUUCGUUCCAAUGACAACGCCUGCUUCUUUACUGAAUAAAACGAACGAAGCAAAAAUUGUCCUGGAAUGAAUAAAC